AGCUGCGUGGUGAACACAUAGCGAGUUAUUCUUUCGCCUUUUACUAAAGAAUAUCGUAUGUUCGUCGUUAUAAGUAGCAUAUGCCAAUUUUUGAAGAGGUUUCUUUGAAAAAAGAAC